CACGUAGGCGGAUUGCUAAGUCAGGGGUGAAAUCCUGGAGCUCAACUCCAGAACUGUCUUUGAUACUGGCGAUCUCGAGUCCGGGAGAGGUGAGUGGAACUGCGAGUGUAGAGGUGAAAUUCGUAGAUAUUCGCAAGAACACCAGUGGCGAAGGCGGCUCACUGGCCCGGUACUGACGCUGAGGUGCGAAAGCGUGGGGAGCCAAACGGGAUUAGAUACCCUGGUAGUCCACGCCGUAAACGAUGGAUGCUAGCCGUUGGUGGGUUUACCCUUCAGUGGCGCAGCUAACGCAUUAAGCAUCCCGCCUGGGGAGUACGGUCGCAAGAUUAAA
rnacentral:rRNA from 1 species